UGCGGUCGGCUCCUCUCAAAUGGAUCAGCUUGCCAGUGUUUGGUGGCAUCAUGGGUGUGAUAACUAUCUACGCCUGUGGUUUUCCACCGGAUAACCUUCAGUGAUGGAGGUUUGCUGGAGCUCAUAAAUGUCUCUCCUCAGUGAAGACAGCUUUUUGAACGUUUGAUCUCAAAUCAGGUAGGACUACCCGCUGAACUUAA
rnacentral:misc_RNA from 1 species